rnacentral:misc_RNA from 1 species
AAAACACAACAAAAACAACAACAUCACAGACAUACCUCAAAAAGUAAGUACGGUAUGAAUUAUAAAUCAAGUAAUAUCAAACUUGUGCUUUUUGCGAUGCAAUCCAACCGUGUUGAAUUACAAAUUCUAUUAAUAUUGUAUAUUUCUUACUAAUUUUUCUUUUGACACAUAUUUAGGUCCUGCCAACCUCAGUUUUGAAAAUGAUCUGUCUUCUUUUCCUGGCAUUAGUCCCCGCAGUCCUGGGGCACGGCUAUUUACAGGAACCACCCUCCCGCUCUAGCAUGUGGAGAUUUGGGUUCAACACGCCUCACAACUACAAUGAUAAUCAACUCUUUUGUGGGGGAUUUGAUGUAAGUAAAAUGCACAAGCAUUAUAAAAGAAGAUUUCGUCACUUUUCAAUAUAAAUUGCUAGAUAAUAAAUAUUGUUUUUAGUUCUUCUUCAAGUCUUUGAUAUGAAACUUUUUUUUUAUCAUAAUAGAGACAGUGGAAUAAAAACGGCGGAAAAUGUGGUAUUUGCGGGGACCCUUGGGAUGGAGUGCGUGAAAACGAGGCUGGCGGACGCUAUGCAACAGGAAUUAUUAGCAGGAGAUACACAGAGGGACAAAUAAUUGAUGUAUUACAUGUUUUAGUUUGCUUUUAAAUGAUCUCAGUCAUGUUUUACAAAUUUUAUCCCCUUAAAAACGAUUUUCAGAAUGAAACAAUUUGAAAUCAAAUGAGAUGAAAAUAAGAAUAAAUUUGUUUUCAAUUUCAGGUUAAAGUGAAAAUUACCGCAUCUCAUAUGGGCUAUUUUGAAUUCCGUUUAUGUCCGAACAACAACGUUCACAAACCCGCCACACAGGCCUGUCUAGAUCAGUACGUACUUCACCAGCCAUCUGGGAGUGUUCGAUUUCUUGAGCAGGGACGCCCACAGACUUACUCAAUCAAAGUAAAGCUUCCAAAGGGAUUGACUUGUACACAGUGCGUUCUGCAAUGGAAAUAUAACGCUGGUGUGUAUUUAUAAUCUACAUAUGAAAUGCAUUUCUUUUUUCUAAAAUAAGAAUGCUGUUGAUUUCAAAAGAAACCAUAGUCUUUGAUUUUGUUGUUCGGUUUGAAAGAUUUGCAUUCUGUAUUUAUAGGUAACAGUUUUGGAACUGACCCGAAUGGCCAAGUCUGCAAAGGGUGUGGUCCACAGGAACAGUUUUACGGCUGCGCAGACAUAGCCAUAAACCCCGCCACUAGUGGCGCUCACCAGGCCGGAAGUUAUCACCCGUACGUUCCCCAGGGAGUGGUGGCUCGCCCUCAGCUUCCGGUGGGUGGGAGUUCGGUCACCUGCACAGCCACGACGGCCUUCAGAAGAAUCAGUCCUUGGAGCGCCGACAGCUGGUGUGUCUCUAACUGCCGCAUGGGAAACUGUCCGCCAAUGUAUUGUAACACGCCGUGCCAGAGUCUGCGCGUGUUCGGGUAGUUCUUUCAGGGUUUUUAAAAGUAUUUUUCUAGUCACUUGUUAUUUACAAUCAUACUUAUAUUUUUUUUGUACUUUUACAUGUUGGUUGCAUAAAGUUCUAUAUUUUGUAUUUUAUAAGACUAGUCACAUGAUACUGUAGUAGUGUUUUAUCACAACAUCAAUUCAAAUAAGACUCAUGUAUGUUUAAUCAAGAUGAUUUGAAUAUUUUAUAUUGAAUUUUGUUCCAUUAUAGUUUCAUUAGUAGAAACAACUGUAAAAUUAUUUAAUUUUUGACAACUUUACAUGAUAUUAAGCAUAAUAUAUGUAUGUACUUUUAUUUAUAAAUAAAUCAUUGUAUUU